UGACUUUCUCAUGCUCUCUUCCCACAAGCCAACAGUUCCAAAGCCGUGAGAUUUCUGCUUCUGCCAACCUAGAGCUGAACGGUGCACCAUCUCAGUGACAGCUUCCUUGCAGGCUGACCUACUUUGACCAAUGACUUUCAGGAUUGUCCUCCUCCAAGCCAACUGCCACAUGUGAACGCUAGCCUGCUGGAAAGGGCACACGGAGAAUAGUGGUGUCAUGAGUGAUAGCCCCAACCAGUGACCAGUUGAGUGAUGGAAGCCACCUUCCACAGGCAAGCCAAUGAACCAAAAAUUUGAAGGAGGACAGAUAAGCAGGCUGCCCUGGACACAAGGCAAAGGCUUUUGCAAUGCAGUUGUCAGCAGCAGUCAUGCAGCAGUAAGUGAUGGAGGCCUGAGAAGUGACCUGUUACCAUCUAAUCUCAGCAGUCACCAUUUGCCUCUCCACUGUCCCCUCCACGCCUCUGGUGAUGGCUUAGUGACUCUCCUUGCCCAGCAGGUCGGUUUUCCAAUUACUUCCAGCCGGGCCUGCUUUCCCCUGAAUUUCAUUUCCGGGCCUGUUGAAGCCAAAUUAAUUUUUAAUCACCUUUGAGGUGUUCUGUUUAAUUACCUGGGUUGAACUGAUGAGAACAGUGUGUACGGAGGCGAAACUUUGGGGGUGCUUCUCAGGAACGGGGUGUGGGGUGUUUCUAGAGUGCUGUGCAGGUGGAGAGACAUGGGAUGCCCAGCAACAUGACAGACUAUGAGGACUAUGACGGACGGUGUAAGAGAAAGAAGAGAACCUCGUGAGUCUGCCUCACGUGACACAACCCAAAACUUCCCCUUCAGAUCCCUGCAAACGCCUGAGCUUGGAGUGGAGACUCUCACUUAGGAAGGAAAAAUGAGCUGAGGAUGUGCCAACAAACAGGCAUGUGCCAUCAAGGCCUGUUUAUGGCUGAAACCCAGGUCCUUGUGCAUAUGAGACCAGCACUCUACCAACUGAGCUAUGCGGGGACUCUGAAAACAGAUUUUUAAAAAUUCGGAUUUUUAUAAAUAAAUAUAUAUGUGUGUGUGUGUGUGUGUAUGAGUGUUUCCCCUAAAAGUUUGCAUGUGUGUGCAGUGCUCUGUGAAGGACACCAAACCCCCCUGGAACUGCUGUUAAAGAAGAUUAUAAGCCACCAAGAAUGGGUGUUGAGGAUAAACAGCAGUCCAGCAGAAGAGCAGCGCUUGUUCUUGACCACUCGGCCCUCUCUCUAGCCCCAGGAAGUAGAUUUCUAACAUUAUUUUACAUUAUUGAAGAAAGUUAAAGUAAUACUUUGUGGUAUGUUUUGUUGGAGACCAGCAGAAUGGGUUUACACAUUGCCCGUUGCCAACCCUCAGAGGCAGAAGCGAACAGUAGUGACACACACUGAAUGGACCGCAAAUACUUACUUCUAACCAUUUCCAGAAAAAAAAAAGGCUCUCUGACCUUUGACCCAGGCCAGUUGUGACACUCUUCUCUCUUUUUCCCCCUAAGCUUCCUUGCAGCUAGGAGUGGCCACUUGUUCUCCUCAGUCAGGCAAAGAUCUGCAGGGGAGACUGGUAUAAAGCCCUGCUGUUCCAAAGGAAAGAGUGGGAUGUGUCUGGGAACUCUCCCACCUACUUCCUGUCUGAACUGUGAGUUAGCCCUGGGGAGCCCACCCAGCCCUCUUUUAGAACCCAUCUCCUGCUGAGAGACAGGAAGCACAGGGUCAUGAGUUCAAGUAGAAGGGCUGGGUCCCCGUUGGCUACUGUCCAGGAGAAGCGGAAUGCCUGCCCUGAGCACCUGCCCAGAGGUUAGGCUACUUGUAGCCUAGAUCCGAGGAGCCACUUGUCUGCCAGGAACUUGUCAGUGGCUCCUGAUUGCCAGACCCACAUCAGUACAUGGGAAAGUUAUAAGGUAAACUAAGGUCCACUGUUGGAUUCUGGGGUCCUAGAGGCAAAAUUUCUCAGUGUUCCCUUAUCCCCGAAACUCCUAUAGCUCUCAAAAGAUAAUAAUCAAAAUAAUGUUGGAUGUUUUGGAGGAUGUUUGAGAGAUGAAUAAAUGAAUGAAUGGAUGGAUGAAUGAAUGAAUGAAUGAAUGAAUGGAAGCAUAUAGUUAUCAAGAGGGAGCUACACAGAAUUGAAAGCAGCCUGGAAAGUCUGACCUAGGUAUUCUAUUAGUUAACAAAGGAAACCGGGUUUCCAUGAGUAUAAUUGGCUUUCCUAUGGUCACAAGAGUUAGGAGGAAAAAAGUUGGGAUCCCACCUUAAGGCUGGUUCAACUCCUUGGAUACUGGCCUCUCCGGCCUCAGCUCCUUGGACAUUCCCUGAGGCAAUGCCAGACAUAAUCUGUAGAAGUAGGUGACAAAUCUACCAUCACCUAGGGGAAAGCAUGAAAGGAAACUUGAUGAGUUUGGACGACUGCCAGUCACUGCCUCUCUCCCUCGCAUCCCCCAGUUCUGCUCCUAGAAUUGCCAGGAACACGUCACCUCCUUAGCAGGUGCUCGGAACAUAUUUGGAAGAUGAGUCCCCUCGUAUCAGUGCACAUUCCUCAGCAAAAAGUCACAGGCUGCAAAACUUCAAAAAAAAAAAAAAAGCAGGAAAACGGUGUAUGUGCUUCAGAGAGCCACCCACUGUGCCAAGCACGGCGACGUAAGCCGUCUCAUUUGAACCUCCUCACAACAGGAUGGGAACUGCAUAAUCUGGGCACAGUGCCCCAUGCCUGUGCCCUAGCACUCAGCGAGUUGAGGAAGGAAGACCAGAAGGUACAGGGUCAUUCUCGGCCAUAUUUGCGGUUUGCGGCCAGCCUGGGAGACCCAGACUUGGGCUAGUGAAGAACUGUGGAUAUGAACUGCAGGAUUGCUGUAAGGAACAGCUGACACCCUGAACUCUGCACGGAGAACGCUGUAGUGAGAGAACUGUCGGGGAGAGAGGAACAUGGUACCAAAGUAGGAAUGGGUGAGGCUCUGUGUGCCCACAGGACAUGUCCUUUCAUGGGUUGUGGGUCAGGUUCAGCCACAGUGUGAUUGCUCAGCUGAUGUGUGUAUGCUAAAGGGCAGGGUCCAUGCAUUAGGAGUGGCUGGGCUGGGCUGGUGUGGUGUGCUGUGUUUCCCGUGGGGAUGGCGGUGAUUCAUUACCCUUCCCAGCCCGCUCAGCUUCUAUCAGGGUUCAACUUGUAGUAAACAAGUCAGAAAAUGCCAUCUGGGUGAGAAAGAGACGGGGGGGGGGGGGGGGGCGGGGAGCUUCCGAGGUGACCCUCAGUGUCCUGUCAGCCCCAAAUCUUCCUGGAAACUACACACUGGAUCCACAGAGCUCAGAAUCUCUCUCACCAAUGGCAGAAAACCCUUCUUCACCCAAUUUCCGAUCUUUUUUUUUUUUUCUGGAAUGUUCUAGAAACUCUACUCUCCUGGGAUGAUUCUGAGAUAUAACCACUCCAGCUUGCGCUGGGGGUGGGAGUGGGGGUGGGUGUUCUGCUGCCCAGAGGAUAUCUGUUGGGGUGCUUCUGGGAGGUGUGCAUCAAUAAAUCAACCUGUGCAUGCUAUUAAUCAACAGUUUCCCUGAAGUCUGGCCAGCGAAAUUCAGGCUUGUUGUCUAAGUGAGUAGGUCUGACGUUCUCGGAGCAGAGAACACAGGAGACACAGUUCAGCCCGCAAGAUGAAUAAAACCACAAUCACAACAAGAGCACAACUAGAGGAACGAUUAAUUGUCAGAUUGUGAGAGUCUCCCUUGGUUCACCAGGGCUUUCAAAAGGACAGGUAAGACUAGCCAGUUUGCCCCAAAAAUAGGCCAAACGAGACUGGAAGGGCUUGAGCACUAGAAGUUCAAGGCUCUGACCCUGGGAGGCUGAGGCUAAGAUGGUUCUAGGACUGGUUCCCUCUGAGGCUGUGAGCAAGACUGUUUAACUCCUGUCUCGCUUCUGCUGGCGACUAGCAUUUGUUUGUGUCUGCUAGUCUCUACCGUUGAAACAACCACAUCUGCACAGACCCCGUUCCAAGCAAGGUUGCAUUCUGAGGUACGGAGGUCUAGGAGUUCAAUCCAUGAAUUAUGGAUGGCGACACAUAAUUUAACCCAUAGCAUAACCAGAAGCGGGUUCCACAUAUGGAUCACGCACAGGAUCUUCUUUUGCCAGUCCACACAGAUCGCCAACGAGUCUUCCCGAAAACGACUUGCACUCCCCCGGCCCCGCCCUUCGAGGUGGUAGCCGGCCUCACCUUAUCUUACUUGCAACUCAGGUGUGACUGGCCCCACCCUGGGUAAGAGGUUACUGUGAGCAACCAACACUGGGAGAUCAUGGAGGAAUGGGGCCAAGAAGGGACCUCAGGAUAAAAAUAGCUCCAGCAGUAGGGGUAGGUGGCGUGUGACCAGAUGACCUUUGCCCUUUGAGACUUUGAAAGUCACCAGGUUGGGAUGACUCAGCUCUCCGCUCAUCACCUUGGGGAAGAGUGACCGUACAUGGGGGGGGCGGGUCACUUCUCUUUUCCUUCCUCCCCUGGCAGCUCUUCUGGAGCUUCCAGAAGCCUGAAGAGGAUCCCAUGACGACACUGAUGUAAUCCUGUGUGCCCUGUAAAAGGGGGGUGGUGGAUCAGAACUGAACUGUCUUUCAAAGCAGCUCUGAACUCCAAAAGGCUGGAGGAGGCCCCCAGCAAGCGCCAGCACCGAGAUGUAGAAACAUCCCAAUUCUCGGUGGUGGUGGUGAGAUGUCUCCGUGGGAAGAGGCGCUUGCUGUCAAGUUCCAUGCCCUCAGAACCCAUGAGCUUUGGAUGGAAGCCCAGAGCUGGGAGCCAUGGGUACCACUACAGUAAAUCUAGGAAGAGCUCUCACAGAGAAGAGGGGAUCUCUCUGGGACAUCUGGGACAUGCAGCAGACAGAGAGCGCUCCCCCUGCUCACAUCUUCUGAGCUUCAGCUUUGUCUUCCCCUCCACCCGACCCCCAGACUGACCCUGGGCUGCUCCAUCCUUGUAAGGCCUGAAGAACAGAUCUCAUGUAGGCUUUGGACUGAGCGCUCUGGACCCAUUAAUGCAAGGUCUGACUCUUCCAGACUGAGAGACUGCUGAAGGAAGAAGCAGUGACCCACGGCUGAGUACAGUGGCCAGGGUUCCAGGGUACACAUCUGUCAAUUCACCCCUCUGGAGGCAUGGGCUGCUGGAAGUGAGUUCCGUGAGAAACUGUUUGGUAUAAUCCGUGAAUACUGAGAGAACUGUAGGCUGUCUGUGGGGAAGAGGGAGCAGGUGUUGCCCUCUCGCCUGUGAAUCACUAGGGAGGUGAAAGAGUUCAUACAGCCAACCAGGAAGCAGUCACUCUGACAAGCCAAGCGAAGAGAUGUUUGGCCACCUGCAUCUGACUUCUAGAUCGGCUUCUGUUCUUGGGACCAGCAAUGCUUGAAUGAAAAGCUCUGCUGAGCGCCAUUAAACAGAUCUUUAAGGAGUGAGGAUGCUACUGUCUCCUUGGCUUAGAAGAGAAGGCAGGAGAUUCUGCCAGGCUCACAGGUGCCUGCUGCAGAGAAGCCUGGACCCACAGGGCACCGGGCAUGAAGGAAAGCAAGCGGUUCCGUGUUGAAGGCAAGGGUCUCUGUCCUGCAGCAGGUAUGCAGAAAGUCGCCUCCGUGGUGGAAGGGUCUGAGUGGUAUAGACCCCAUAGCACAGCCUCCUUCGCCUCACACUCUCCGUGAUCUCCCCAGUCUCCUCUGAACAGCCAUAAAGCUAGUCAUUAAAAUGUGCCUCAAGGUCGGCAAUCAAUCUCAAGGGGGUUUUAGUUUAUUGUCUGGAGGAGGAAGCCUUCCACUGCCUCUCUUGUCACUGAAGAGGCAUCACAUAAAGGACCCUUUAAUCUCACCCAGACAUCUCAUGGGGCACCAUGGCGAGUAAGUCCCCUCCCUGGCAAACACACGGGCUCGUUAACAGGGACCUUUACCACCAGUGACACAAUGGAACUUUCUUUAUAAGGGUUGAAAGGGCACAGGAGUUGCAAAAUGUCUUAAGGGCCAUGAAUUGUAGACUCCUUCCUGCCCCUCUGCCUGGGGUCAAAUGUGGGGACACUCAUGCAUCGGUGCUAUGCCUCCUAUCCACUGUGCACCUUGCUCAUAGGUAUGUGGCCCUGUCAGAUUUCUCUGUCCAGGACCAUGUCUCUGUCUUGCCUGAUAUCCCCACUGGUGUGUCUCUCACAGUGCGGUGUAGUAUGAGGACACUCAGUGUGAAGAAUGUAAGCCACAGGGAGCCAGCUAAGGAACAUAGAAUCCUUGAGUUCACUCUGACUCAACACUGGGGUUUUGGGCCUUGUAGGAUACUUAGCAGUAUCCCUGAUCUCCACCAGUGUGAUACCAACAGCAGCCUGCCAACCUGCUGGACAACCAAAACUGUCCCCAUACAUUGCUCUGGGACAAAUUACCUGGCUGUGCCAACAGUGUGCAUGGCAGAAGUCUGUGUACAGAGAGCAUCAGAGAGCAGACACUGAUGUUUGGGAUGCCCACGGGACCUUGUCUGGAGAUGGAGGUGGGGAUGUGUGUGGUACCUUUCCCACACUCUCCACGGAAGCUCUUUGUCAUUCCUCUUUAGAAGGUGUCAGGAAAAGGGGGGCUGCUGUGGUCAGAACCCUUGCUAUUUUAUUAUUAGCUAUUACGAAGCACCGAAAGCCCCGAACUUGGCUGAAGUGCCCUCUUGAGACAAGUUAUGGGAUGUGGGAUGACUGUCUGUUUUCAGCGUCCAGCACGCAGGGAUUGGGGCAAGCCCAUCAGCCUAAGAUGGCGAAAACUAUGGUGCCAGCACCCAUUACAUCAAUUUGUGAGAAAACUACGCAAUAAAUGGCAUCUCUUACUGUUCCUGUGAACUUCCUGCCUUUGAACCCACUCACCACACUCCCUUUACGGAUCUCAGGGAAACCCCAGAGCCACGGUGCAACCCCUCCUCACCCACAUAGGCCCGCUCCCUGGCCCAGGUACGCGUUGGCUUCUUACUGGGACUUGAAGCAGCACACGUGGGCUCUGGUUCUCACCCACCACUCUCAUCAGGCGGGGCUUCCCCAGAACAAAGGGUGCCAUCUGCUCAAGGACAAACCCAGACUUCAUUUCUGUUGGUAUCUUCUUUCACCAUCUUUCCUUCCUUAGGCUGUAUUUUAAAUAUUCUCAGUCAUCCUAUCAGACGGAAUGUGUUUCACUAAAAUGUCAACUUUGUACAGUAAAUGGGUGACCCGUGGAGGAAAAAGGCCACCUACAGGACGCAUGAACAGGUUUGCAAAUUGUAGACCUGAUAAAGGACCAAUAUCCGGGAUAUACAAAGCACUCCUACAAACCGCUGCCACAGCCAUCAACAGUGACAGAAACCGGGGAGGGGGGGGAGGCGAUUCAGCCAAGCAAACACUUGUUUUUCUUCUACAAGUCAUAAAAUGGUCAAUAGCCAUGCCUCAAUGCAGGAGUCCCAGGAGAAAUGCAAAUCAAACCCACACCGGGCAGUGGUGGCGCAAGCCUUUAAUCCCAGCACUUGGGAGGCAGAGGCAGGCGGAUUUCUGAGUUCAAGGCCAGCCUGGUCUACAGAGUGAGUUCCAGGAUAGCCAGGGCUGUACAGAGAAACCCUGUCUCGAAAAACAACAACAAAAUACAAAACAAAACAAAACAAAACAGAAACUACUUCCCACCUAUCAGAGCAGCUACCAUGUAAAAACCAUUACUAGUGCUAGUAGGAUGCCCUGGACACUGUUGGUGGGAAACAAACAUGACUAACUCUGUAGAAUACACUCUUUAAAGAAAUGAAGGAAGGGAAAGGAAAGGGGAAGAGGAAAAGGAAGAAAUAGAAUUAUUGUAUGGCCCAGUAAUUCUGUUUCCAGGUAAGAACGCAAAAGAGUAUUUUAAAGGUCAUGGAGGCUGACAAGAUGGAGGAAGGGCAGGUUUAGCUGUACCUUCUGGGUCACCUGGCAGCCAUUGGUAGCUGUGUGGAAGGUGGUGGUCAUGUACUUGGAGGGCAACAAUAUUUUUGGCACUCAUCCUUCUGGAGCUGUAUUCGCCUUGGCUGGAAAACAACCAUUCCUACUUUCCACAACCCCGACAAAGACGAGAGAGGAAGCCUGAGACCUGGAGGGAGGGUAAAGGCACAGAAGGUCUCCUUAGGUAACAUGCCAGAAUGUUCCAGAAUACAGACUUUUGUGCUCAGACUCCACUUCAUAGCAAAGUCCCCUUAACCCCACCAUGGGCCUGCCUCCACACAGAGGUAAGUUGGAAACAUGGGUGCUUAGAAAGGCCUUAGAAGAAAACACAAAGACGCUGUCCAAAGCUGAGUGCCCAAGGCCGGGUGUCCAAGCCUGGGUGCCCAAGGCUGUGUGUCCAAGGCUGGGUGCCCAAGGCCAGGUGUCCAAGCCUGGGUGCCCAAGCCUGUGUGUCCAAGGCUGGGUGCCCAAGCCUGUGUGUCCAAGGCUGGGUGCCCAAGGCCAGGUGUCCAAGCCUGGGUGUCUAAGCCUAUGUGUUCAAGGCUGGGUUGGACAGCCUGGGUGUCCAAGGCUGGGUGUCCAAGACCAGGUGUCCAAGCCCGUGUGUCCAAGGCUGGGUGCCCAAUCACCCAGGCACUUGCCAGGCACCAUCGUAGGCGCACCGGGCCCAAGAGGAGAGGAUGUGGGUUUGAAUAAGACCCAGACUUGGCCCACGUUUGUCGAAAGUGUAACUGUGAACUCAGACAUCUAAAGAUGGAUCACAGAACAGUGACGCAGUUAGUGUAUGUGUGCCGAAAACUGAACAGAAGCAAAAACAAAGAGGACAAAACAAGAAACCCCUGAACUUAGAAGUGGCUGGAAUUCAAAUAUGCAUUUCCCCCGGAGGUGUAGGUGUGUAUGUGAAGUCUGUAUGCAAAAAGAGGCAGACACCGUUACUCUGCAGGGAGAUGCAAAUCCAAACCACAGUGAGAUGCCACCUCACACCCAGCCUACCUCGCUAAGGGAAAGGACAGAUCCUGACAAGUGUUCAAAGAGGUGAGACAUUGGAAUUCUCACAGCUGGCAGACAUAACAAAGCAGCUCUGUUAAACAGUUACUUUUCUCAAAGUUUAAAAAAUAGGAAAUGAAAGUUACAUAUGAGCCAGGGUUCUGAAAGAAACAAUGUCUAAGACUUUAAAUUCAGAAUUCUUUGUUCUUUCUUGACAAGAAAAAAAAAAGAAAUAAAAUUGCUCGUCAAUUUAUA
rnacentral:lncRNA from 1 species